rnacentral:rRNA from 1 species
GACGGAGGGGGCUAGCGUUGUUCGGAAUGACUGGGCGUAAAGGGCGCGUAGGCGGUUUUUUAAGUGAGGCGUGAAAGCCCUGGGCUUAACCCAGGAGGUGCGUUUCAUACUGGAAAGCUUGAGUGCGAGAGAGGAAAGUGGAAUUCCUAGUGUAGAGGUGAAAUUCGUAGAUAUUAGGAAGAACACCAGAGGCGAAGGCGGCUUUCUGGCUCGCAACUGACGCUGAGGCGCGAAAGCGUGGGGAGCAAACAGG